GCGCGAAAACUUUACAAUGCUGGCAACAGCGAUAAGGGGACCUUGAGUGCCAGGAUACAAUCCUGGCUGUCGUGAUGCCUAAAAAGCAUUAUAUAGCAAGGGCCGGGCAAGACCGGCGCCAGCCGCCGCGGUAACACCGGCGGCUCGAGUGGUAACCGCUAUUAUUGGGUCUAAAGGGUCUGUAGCCGGCUUGGUUAGUCUCUUGGGAAAUCCGGCAGCUUAACUGUCGGGCUUUCAGGAGAUACUGCCAGGCUCGAGACCGGGAGAGGUGAGAGGUACUUCAUGGGUAGGGGUGAAAUCUUGUAAUCCUUGAAGGACCACCAGUGGCGAAGGCGUCUCACCAGAACGGAUCUGACGGCAAGGGACGAAAGCUAGGGGCACGAACCGGAUUAGAUACCCGGGUAGUCCUAGCCGUAAACGAUACUCGCUAGGUGUCGGCCACGGUGCGACCGUGGUCGGUGCCGUAGGGAAGCCGUGAAGCGAGCCACCUGGGAAGUACGGCCGCAAAGCUGAAACUUAAAGGAAUUGGCGGGGGAGCAC
rnacentral:rRNA from 1 species